rnacentral:pre_miRNA from 1 species
ACAACAUUCGGACCGUCGGUCUACCGAGCAAUAUCACCCGCUCGGUGGAAGAUCUUGCCUUUGCUGU